ACCUUCGGUUUUGCUCAUGUUAGGAUGAGGUUCUCCUCCUAUUCCUAACACGCUUAAUUUUAUUUGUAUGGGGGAGUUAUCUCCCGUCGUUAUAAGGUCAUACCAAAAGAAAGAAUGCGCAAAUAUGAAGAGAAUUUUUAUUCAGGGCAAAGUCGUUGGUAAUACAUUCGUAGAUUUUUCGAACCCUAUAACCGCGGAAGGUCUGCUCCCCAUCGGGGUCCCCCCAAGACGGAGUUGAUAAUCCCAAUUGGAGGCUGAUCUUUUGGCUGCUCCUCCCUCCUUGGCAGUUCCGGCUGCGACAGGCCCUAGGCUGAUCUUCUCUUCCUUCAGGUUGGCGUUGAAUGAAUCUAUCGAGCCGACCUCAUCUGAUAAGCUCCUCGAUCUCGUCUCGAAGCUGAAUACACUCCUCUAUAUUGUGGCUGUGGUCACGAUGAUAGAGGAAAAAUUUGUUCAGGUUGCACUUUCUGGGGUGCGAGCGCAUCCU
rnacentral:lncRNA from 1 species